rnacentral:rRNA from 1 species
UGGGGAAUAUUGCACAAUGGGCGCAAGCCUGAUGCAGCCAUGCCGCGUGUAUGAAGAAGGCCUUCGGGUUGUAAAGUACUUUCAGCGGGGAGGAAGGGAGUAAAGUUAAUACCUUUGCUCAUUGACGUUACCCGCAGAAGAAGCACCGGCUAACUCCGUGCCAGCAGCCGCGGUAAUACGGAGGGUGCAAGCGUUAAUCGGAAUUACUGGGCGUAAAGCGCACGCAGGCGGUUUGUUAAGUCAGAUGUGAAAUCCCCCGGCUCAACCGGGGAGGGUCAUUGGAAACUGGGAGACUUGAGUGCAGAAGAGGAGAGUGGAAUUCCAUGUGUAGCGGUGAAAUGCGUAGAUAUAUGGAGGAACACCAGUGGCGAAGGCGGCUCUCUGGUCUGUAACUGACGCUGAGGCUCGAAAGCGUGGGGAGCAAACAGG